GUGGCCGCGGCCACUAGCCGCGGAGCUGCACCCACCCCCAGGCCCGGGACCCCCUCCGAGCCCCGCGCCGUGCCCGGCGCAGACGGCCUGGCGUUCGCCCUGGAGCCCGCCGGGGGCGCGGCCAACUUCUUGGCCAUGGUUGACAACCUGCAGGGGGACUCUGGCCGCGGCUACUACCUGGAGAUGUUGAUCGGGACCCCCCCGCAGAAGCUGCAGACUGGUUGACACUGGAGCAG